GGUUAAGUGACUAAGCGUACAGGGCGGAUGCCUUGGCAAUCAGAGGCGAUGAAGGACGUGCUAAUCUGCGAAAAGCUUGGAUGAGUCGAUAAGAGGCGUUUAAUCCAAGAUAUCCGAAUGGGGAAACCCAGUAGAUGAAGAAUCUACUAUCAAUAAAUGAAUACAUAGUUUAUUGAGGCGAACCGGGAGAACUGAAACAUCUAAGUACCCCGAGGAAAAGAAAUCAACCGAGAUUCUGUGAGUAGCGGCGAGCGAAAGCGGAAGAGCCAGUAAGUUUUAGCUAGCAUAUUAGAGGAAUUGGCUGGGAAGCCAAAUCAAAGAGGGUGAUAAUCCCGUACUCGAAAGUAUGUUAGUGGAACUAAGCUUACGAUAAGUAAGGCGGGACACGAGAAAUCCUGUUUGAAGAUGGGGGGACCAUCCUCCAAGGCUAAAUACUCCUGAUUGACCGAUAGUGAACCAGUACU
rnacentral:rRNA from 1 species